UCUUCAUUCUUCACACUAUCUCACUGGUCAGAGGGGCGAGAGAGUAUGCGAAAUGAAGAGA
rfam:Pristionchus pacificus strain PS312 contig356, whole genome shotgun sequence.